GACGAACGCUGGCGGCGUGCUUAACACAUGCAAGUCGAACGGAAAUGCCCUGCUUUUGUGGGGUGCUCGAGUGGCGAACGGGUGAGUAACACGUGAGUAACCUGCCCUUGACUUUGGGAUAACUUCAGGAAACUGGGGCUAAUACCGGAUAGGAGCUCCUGCUGCAUGGUGGGGGUUGGAAAGUUUCGGCGGUUGGGGAUGGACUCGCGGCUUAUCAGCUUGUUGGUGGGGUAGUGGCUUACCAAGGCUUUGACGGGUAGCCGGCCUGAGAGGGUGACCGGCCACAUUGGGACUGAGAUACGGCCCAGACUCCUACGGGAGGCAGCAGUGGGGAAUAUUGCAAAAUGGGCGGAAGCCUGAUGCAGCAACGCCGCGUGCGGGAUGACGGCCUUCGGGUUGUAAACCGCUUUCGCCUGUGACGAAGCGUGAGUGACGGUAAUGGGUAAAGAAGCACCGGCUAACUACGUG
rnacentral:rRNA from 1 species